rnacentral:rRNA from 1 species
UACGUAGGGUCCGAGCGUUAAUCGGAAUUACUGGGCGUAAAGCGUGCGCAGGCGGUUUUGUAAGCCAGAUGUGAAAUCCCCGGGCUUAACCUGGGAAUGGCAUUUGGGACUGCAAGGCUUGAGUGCGGCAGAGGGAAGCGGAAUUCCGGGUGUAGCGGUGAAAUGCGUAGAUAUCAUCAGGAAUACCGGAGGCGAAGGCGGCUCACUGGGGGUCUUCUGACGCUGAGGAACGAAAGCCAGGGGAGCGAACGGG